AAGAUACCGCCUUUGAAAAGAUAAUAAGAGAAAAAGGGGAAGGAAAGAAGGCACAGGCCAGCAAAAUAUAUACAAUGCUAAUAGAGGCCGAUGGAUGUACAAUACAGGACUUGAAAACUAUGUGGGAAACGGAGUUACAAAUCUCGGAACAAGAAAUGAGAAAUGUGGAGGAAAAUAUUGCACAAAUGGUAUCGCACACCCUGCCAAUUAGCAUACUACUAUAAAGAGGGGAGUAGUCAGUGCUGGCAUGGAUGCCACCAGAAAGGGCACUUUAUGCACAUGAUGUGGGAAUGCGAAUAUGUACAAGAUUUUUGGCAAACUAUACAAAAUGUGUCAAAUCAAAUAUUAGGAAAUGAGUGGGUCAUAACAAAGGAAUUAGCGGUAUUAGGGAAAAGAGAGGAAAUGGGAAAUAAAAGGGAAAUAAAAGAAGCAAUAAUUGAAUGUGCACAAGCAGUAAUAGUAUUAGGGUGGAAAGAUAAAUCAAAAUGGACAAUAAAUAAAUGGUACCAUUAUAUGGUGGAGCAAAUGGAAUUUGAAAUUAUGAAUGUGAAAUUAAAUGAUUUAAAAAUCAAUGAAAAUCGAAUGAGAGAAAUGGAAGAUAGAUGGACAAGGGUAAUGAACUAUAUUAUGAAUCAUUCUGGAGAUCAGGUCAUAAGAAAUAAGAUACAAAUGCUAUAUAGCAUACAGGA